rnacentral:lncRNA from 1 species
GUACGGCAGGUAUAAUUUUGUAAGUAACCCUUGUCAGACAUACAUUUCAUUGACUUUUUUUUUGGGGUAUAUUCUGAGAAAUUAGCCCAUUUCAGUUAGGCCACUCCAACCGAAUUUUGGACAAUGAUGAAAUAAAAGUCUCAUUUGGAUAGUUACUUUUAAGAGUUUUUAUAAAAAAAUUUAUUAUUAUACUCGAAGUUAAAAAAAAAAUAAAUUGAGAAAGUACUAUAUCAUGACCAUACCAUCUCCGUCAUAGCUUUCAGUGACUUAUCCAUUAGUCAUUUUUAUAUUUCAAAUACUCCCCCCGUCCCACUUUGAUAGUCCUGAAUUCCUUUUUCAUCUGUCCCAAAUUGUAAUCCACUUUCCAAUUGAAUAAUGUAGUUGUAUUUUAAUUUUCCUAAAAUACCCUUAUUCAAUGUAAGUAGUUGUUAUUAUAAACCUACCCCAUUUAAUGAGAGUUGAUUCUUUUUUUACCAUCAAUUCAAGUUCCCAUAAAGUUGUACCAUAUUUAAUGUGAGGGUAUUUUAGGAAAAUAGCAAUCUAAAUUUACUUUUCCAACAAAAUUAACUACUUUUUCUUAAACUGUGUGAAAAAAGAAACAGGACUAUCAAAGUGGGACGGAGGGAGUAGUUAUCUUUAGUCAUGUAAUCUCGCGCAAGUCAAAGUAUCACGUAAUCGGGAGUGGUUAAAUUUCAAUUGCCAUUAGAACUCGUGGGAGAAAGUUUUGUGAUAUUUUCUUUUUAAUCGGAAAUGUACGAGUAAAUUUGUUGUAUCUUAAUAUUAGGUAUGUUUGUUUGGAUAAGAGUUUAUUUGGAUGAUUUAUUUGAGAUAAUUACUGUAACACUUUUUGCAAUGUAAUGUAUGUGAGAUAAAAAGGUGAUUGGAAAGAUAAAAAGGUAAUUGGGAUGAUUUGUGAAGCAAAUUAUUUUUUUUCAAUCUAUCUCAAUCCAAACACAAAUUAUGUGAAAAAACGUAGUACACCUACAAAACAGUAAAAUAGUCUUGUUGUGUCACUUGGGGCGAAAUUCAAUGCCUUCGACAAUAAGGCCUGACUUCCCAUGAAGGCUAAUAAUCUCUAUCAGUCGAGCCUCCACCUGACCAUCAUCUCCUCUAUCAGUAUAAAACUUCCCCAGUUCUAAUUCCAUCCAGCCAUCUGUUCUCAUUUUGGGAAACUUUCCACCAAAUUCUGCUGGAUGAUUCAUACCUUCCCUUGAUACAAGAUGGACAGGUGCAGCUCUUCUUCCGGCCACACCGUCACUCUCAUGGUUUACAAAUCUGAUUAAACUUGUUGCUUGCUCAAUCCCAUAAUACUCCUCUGCUAUCUUGAACACUAGGAAAGCUGCAUAAGUAGUACCAGUAGACAACAUUUGACUUUCUAUCCUGCCUCUGAUAUCCAGCCAACAAACAGCCUUAAGCUUGGCAACCUCUCUGAAUCUGCAAAUGCAAAAAAGAUUGGCACAUUAUAAUCACUUUGAAUCACACUGGCAAAGGAGUUUGGGUGUGGGGUUGAUUGGAGAUAUGAUGAGGAAGAACCUUGAGUCAGGACGAGAUAUCCAAUGCCAGUACCAUGGAUCUCUUGCCCAGGCAAUGAUGAGUUCUCUUGCCCCAACCAUAUAACAUUUCUUUCCACUCCUUUUAUCAACUGAAAAGCUCUGCUCAAAAGUUCAAACCAAAUGGUCACCAAGGGAAAAUGGAAAACCACAGAAUUACAAGUUAUAGCUGGAAAUGGAAUUGAAAGGGGGGCGUUAACCGUGCAUGUAAGGUUUGUGGGAUCUAAGAGAACUGAUAGAAGUUGGAUGAGUGUGAUUAAAUUGCAGAGUUCUGAACAGGAGGCAAUUUGAUCACAAAUUUUGAGUCCGGACCACAUUGUUUUAUGUUGCCUUAAAUAUUCUUAGGGAAAUUUGCCAAAUUGGUUCCUAACAUUUACCAAAAAUACUUUUUUAGUCCCUGACAUAUAAAAUCAGCCAAAAUGCUCCUUCACAUUUAAAUUGUGAGCCAAUUUGGUCCUAUUGCUCGUUUUUGCUCAUUUCUCCGGCUAAAAAUAGCACGCCCCUCUCACGUGGUCAUAUUUUUAGGGGCAAAACCGGAAACACAUUUCAUUACCGGUUGAAAGUAAAAGGAUAGGGGACCGCCACCAAAAUACACAUUUUACCUUUGGCUCUCAAAUUACCCUUUACUCUCUAUGGAGCCACCGGAAAAUGACGCCGUGGCUGUUGCAUCAGCUGAGAAAAUCAUCCUCCGCUGGGACUCCACAGCCUCCGAGGACGCCAGGGACAGAAUGAUCUUCGACGGCGAUCGAUAUGAGAUCGACAAAUACUUCCAAGCCGUGGAUGAAAUCCAACGGUCAAUGGAAUCCGCCAGCAUCUCAGACGACUCUGCUAAGGCCAACAGCGCGAUCCAGAUCACCAUGGCCCGCCUGGAAGACGAGUUUCGCAAUAUUAUCAUUGCUCAAAAUUCCCCUCUUGAAGCCGACACUCUGACCGAUCCCAGCUCUUGUUCCUUCCGCUCCACCGCUUCUAUUGGUAGCAGCGACGGCCACUUGAGCUUGCUGCCGCCGCCCCUGCACACCGAGGAAGACGAUUUCACCGAGACCAGCUUGGCAAGUUUGGUAAAGAAAAUGUGAUCCUUCCAGGAAACUUAGCCUUUCUUUUCGUGUGAUUCCUUUGCCUAAAAGGGGCGGCUCAAGCAUCAUGUAUGGAAGGUGCACAAAGUAUUCAGGAUGCCACAAAAAACUUCACUCAUUCAGCGAAAUCUUCUCGCCAGAUCAGGGCAUAAAGCUUGUGAAUUCUCCAUUUUCCAAUCUAAGGGCAACCAUUCACUCUUAAGUUGAAUUGUCCAAUUUUCAAGAUUGAUUAUAACAAAAUUGUCCAUUCACUCUCAAAUCACCUUUGGCUCCAUAUGCUUGUUAAUUCGGGGAUGCAAAUAGGGUUUCUUGAAAGGGUAAUUUGAGAGCCAAAGGGAAAGGGUAAUUUGAGAGCCAAAGGUGAAAUGUGUAUUUUGGUAGUGGUCCCCUAUCCUUUUACUUUCAACCGGUAAUGAAAUGUGUUUCCGGUUUUGCCCCUAAAAAUAUGACCACGUGAGAGGGGCGUGCUAUUUUUAGCCGGAGAAAUGAGCAAAAACGAGCAAUAGGACCAAAUUGGCUCACAAUUUAAAUGUGAAGGAGCAUUUUGGCUGAUUUUAUAUGUCAGGGACUAAAAAAGUGUUUUUGGUAAAUGUUAGGGACCAAUUUGACAAAUUUCCCAUAUUCUUAAUAGCAGCGUGCAUUACGGAAGAGAUGAAUCCUCUAUGGUUCUGCUUUCAUUUUCACACUUCUUCAUACAACCGGAGGAUGCCUUUCUUAAUUCCUACUCGGAUCAGGCUAAUUUUACUUCUGUCUUAGCUGUAACAGCACAAACAUUUGAUCAAGGUUUCAAGCACAAGAAAGAGUACAAACAUAUAAAUAAAAAAAAAUGCAUCACAUUAGACACAAUGAUUACUCUUGUCAAGUUUGAGAGCAAGAUAUUACUUCAAUGUCAAUGCAAAUAAGUUUUAAGUAUCAAAGAAAUCAAGAAAAUAAGAACUCAAUAAACAGUUAAUAUGGUAUCUCUAAGCUUUAUUUUUAACAUUUCACCUUAAAAGCUUACCCCAACAACUUGGCUAUAUGUAUUGAAUUGGCACAAAUUGUAAUUUUCUGAGCAAAUUCAUACUUCCAAAGAAUACCGGGGACUACUGCCAUAACUUUAUCUACUAGUCAGCCAAAAUCAAAUCAUAGAGAACAAUUUAUUAACUACAAAAUCCGAUAACAGAAACGG